rnacentral:rRNA from 1 species
AAUGAACGUUGGCGGCGUGGAUUAGGCAUGCAAGUCGUGCGACAAGUCUCUUUUAGCUUGCUAUUAGAGAUGGAGGAGCGGCGAAAGGGUGAGUAACGCGUGGAUACCUGCCCCUGGGUCCGGGAUAGCGUCGGGAAACUGGCGGUAAUACCGGAUAAUAUCCCCGGAUCAAAGGUGUGAUUCCGCCUAGGGAUGGGUCCGCGUCCUAUUAGCUUGUUGGUGGGGUAAUGGCCUACCAAGGCGAAGAUGGGUACCGGGUGUGAGAGCAUGGCCCGGCACACUGGGACUGAGACACUGCCCAGACACCUACGGGUGGCUGCAGUCGAGAAUCUUCCGCAAUGGGCGCAAGCCUGACGGAGCGACGCCGCGUGCGGGAUGAAGGCCUUCGGGUUGUAAACCGCUGUCAGUGGGGAGCAAAUCUUUUGGAGUUAUCUCCAGGAGUUGAGCGAUCCGCAGAGGAAGCGCAGGCUAAGUUCGUG